ACUUUGGCGGGGGGGGGGGGGGGUGUUGGGGAAUACAAUUAACUUCCGUGGUGAUGUGUUGGGAGAGAAGCACAGGUGGAUUAAGUGGGAAUUUUAAUUCAACACACAUUCCCGACUACUGAGAAAGAAGCGACGGGACUGUGAACUUCCAAGCAGGGAAGGAAACGCCGCGACGGACCCAGCAUUGUGCGCUCUGGAAAGAAUUACUCUUUACAAGUUACGCACCAGACAGGCGGGCCAGAGGCGGGGAGCCCUCAAAGCACCGGCUCGGAGCGGGUCGAACGCUAUGCACACUUUUCAUUCUUGAGAACCCCAAGGAACAAAAUGUUAUUGGCAUCCUCUCCAGCAACAAAGAACAGCUGCAUCUGUUUGGGACAUUUCCCAGGCCGCUCCUUCCUCCAUGUGUGAAGGAUACCGUUGAUCUGUCGACCCAGCCCUGAAGAGGGAGCUUGGAUUCUCACCAGCCUCCUUUGCCAGCACUCAUGCAGCUGCUGGGUAUGCCAGAACCAGAGGAUAAAGAUGGAAAGACAAGAACUGCUGGGGCCAUUUUGCUGCUAGGAUGGAAAGAGCUCAAGGAGGAAGCCAAUGCGAAGAGAAGUGUGCAGCUAAGUGGAUCCCAGUCUGAGGUCUGGAGAAGGAGGUCCUGAAGAGAGGAGGAGAUUCAUUGCUUGAGGUCACACAGAGCUCGAGGCAGAGUUGGGAAGAAAACUCUGUACCCACCAUGUCACCCAGGUCCCUUUGCCGAUUAACCACUGGCCACGGCACUGAAGCUCCCACGUUCCCUCACUUCCCUCCAGAGGGCAGAUGCCAUCAUUAUUGCCAUUUUUCCAGAAUGAGGAAAGAGCUGUACCAAAGAGCUUAAGUCGCGUAUUCUCGGACUGUGUGUGGGAUGAUUGAAGAUCUUUCAGCAUACGCUUCGGUGUGACCUGUGAAGAAGCAGCGGUGUCCCCCGAGCCCCCCUUCCCAGUCUUGCUGGCCGGGCCUGCCAUCAGAGUUCGGUUCUGUCUGCCUGGAAGCUAUCCUCUCAUGCGAGGUGCUCGUCGGAGUGCUUGAGGAUGGAGCAGGGCCAGGCCAAGCUUGUGAAACAGAUUUAAGGCGAGGGUUUUGUGCCUGCUUGGCGAUAGUGCUGCUUGUUUAGCAGAAUUUGAUCUCAGACUUGCUGCCAUGGUAACGGGCACCUGUCAGUGAGCUUGUGCAGGGCUGCUUUACCUCUGAUCGCCAGAGAUUGCUAUUGUCUCCCAGAAGCCCUGACAAUUGCCUAACUACCCCACAGCCGAGGGCAGCUUGAAACUGCCCCAGGUCACAUGGCUGCUAGGUGGCAGUGCUCACAUAAAAGAUGUCAGCAAGGCACUGAUCUUUCAUUUUUUAUUUCCUUAUUAAAUAAAAGGUAUUAGCUCGGCACACUGCCACUCUGUCAGAGGAGGUGCACACAGGCCAGCAGGGUCCUGGCGAGGGGGCAGGGCUUUUGGGCAAAGGGCAGAACUAGAGACAGUAGUUGUUUUAAGAGGAGAGAUUCCUUCGAGUCAGGAAAGGGGGUGAUGGCGUGAAGACCUAGAAUUAGGCGCCUCUAAUUCUAGAGGUGGAGGGAGGAGAAGCUUCUGCCUGGUGGCUCACGUUUCCUUGGUGAAGCGGAGAUCCGGGACUCGGGUUGAAGUAAAGGGGGUGGGAUUGGUAGAGGGCUUAAGUUCAGCGGCGACUGGACAAAGUGCCUUUUGUUUGCCCCGUUCACAGUCGUCUGGGAAGCAGGGCUAUCCAGGACCAGGAGGGUAGAGCUUCUCUGAAGAGAAGCCUAGGAGGCUGAGCAUAGAUGGCCCUAGGGUCUAGGUAGAGUGUUUGUCCCGGCCCCUGGCACCUAUUAAGAUGUCCAGGUCAUUCAAUAGGAGGCCAAGGAUCCCUGCCCGUCCUUCUCAUGAUCAGUGAGAAGAAGGACAAAGCACAGGCUGAGGGACCAAGUGGCCAGAGACACUUGCUCAGCAGUGCUCAGCGAGUCUGGAAGGGGAAGAUGACGGGGCAUUUUCCUGUCUCUUCCGAAAGUGCAUGGGAGUUUUGGAUGCGUGUCUUGAAUUUUAAGACUCCCUGAGGUCAAAGAGGAGGACAGUCAGUUCUGGAGGAGAUGAAAUGGCUUUGCCUUUUGUUUCUCUGCAAGAGCUGAUGAAUAAUUCAAGGCAAUGGUGAGGAAGUGGGCUCUGUAGGACAGGCCAGCUUGGAGCAGGUUCAUCCUGGUGGGUUGCCGUGGGACUGAGCUCUGUCUCCAUCUUGUAUGCUCCUCAGCCUCCCUGGCCCUGAGCCCACAUGGCUCCCGUGGAGCCGUGCUCCUUUUCAGCCAAGGGGAUGAAUGUCUGCUACAGAAAGGCCCUGGAAGAACUUCAACUCAGGCAGAGACAAGCAGGCGUGAAGAGGCCAGCUGCCUUCCUCUCAGGCAUUUGCUUUGUACUGCGAGGACCAAUGAGGGGCACUGCUAAGGGACGGGGAGAGGUGAGAAAGUGGGUUGGCCGGCUGGGGAAUCCCACAGGCCUGCUGGACCUUGCUCCUGCCUGCCCAUGUGUGGCCACGGGCUUCUUUCUCUACUCAGCUGGAGACAGUCUGUCCGGGACAGACAAUAUGCACCUUUUAAGUAGCCCUUCCCCCCAGGACUCACCUUUGAUCUCAAUUUGCUGGUUCCCGUUUAAAGGAGUAGAUGUCAAGAGCCCUCCAAUGCAGCAGAUGCCCACCUCCAGCUGGAACUGAAUUUACACACCAGUAAAUCAGAGAGUUAAUAAUCAAACUGUCUGGAUUUUGCCUUCAAAUUCGGCCAUCAGUGUAUUCUUAUUGUAUCCUGCAACACCUAAAAAUACCUUUGAGGCACUUUAAGUACACAAAACACCACACUGCUUGUCUUGGUAAGAGUGGCCGUGCAAAGGUCCUGGCACCAACGCCUGAUUACCCAACGCAAGAGCCGGCUGCCGCCUUCCUCACCGCGUGGAAGACUUGAAGACUUGCCUAGGCAGCCACACGUGAAGGAAGAGAAAAGGGUGUCCAUGCAAAAUGAUGGCAUUUCUGGGUAUCAUGUUUUCUUUAUGUAGGUAUUCAGCUCUAUGAAAGUGUGUUUAGCGACUCAGUCAUAAACGAAUUUGAGAACUUUUGGCAGUCAAACCAAGGUCUUGUAUGGGACAAGGGAAUGGAUGUUGAUCUCAGGAAACCCCUCAUCAGUCUUGAGCAAUGUUCCCCAAAAUACAGAGGAAGGGAACCCCUGUGUGGGUGCAAAUUCUCCUCCAGGACUCAACCUCCUGACUUAGAGGCACUCCCUGCAGUCAGUGUGGUCUGACCCCUUUUUGGUCUCCCAGGAAAAAUUAGACAUCUUCAUUCGAACAGAAGUCCUCACUGUUUUGUAAAGUAGUGCUCCCCUCUCCAAAUAAAAACAUGGACCUGAGAGUAAA